ACCGAGAGAGAGAGAGAGAGAGAGAGAGAGAGAGAGAGGGAGAGAGAGAAAUCUAUUGUUGUGACGUCCCUGGAGACACAGACACUCUAUUUAACAGAGUUUUCAGUGGCUAGUGAUGAAUCUUUAGAAAUAAAGGUCAACUCCCAAUGAUCACACAGCUGCUCUUACUUUUUCUUUUCUUUUCUUUUGUUUUCCUUUCCUUUCCCUUUCCCUUUCUUUGUUUCCCUUCCUUCCUUCCUUUCUCUCUCUCUCUCUUUCUCUUUCUUUCUUUCCUUCUUUCCUUCUCUCUCUCUUUCUUUCUUUCUUUCUUUCCUUCUUUCUUCUUUCUUUCUUUCUUUCUUUCUUUCUUUCUUUCUUUCUUUUCUUUUCUUUUCUUUUCUUUUCUUUUCUUCCUUCUUUCCUUGAAAGGGACUCACUGUCCGCUAGGCUGCAGUGCAGUGGCACAAUCUCAGCUCAUUGCUGCCCCAAUCUUCCGGCUUCAGCUUCCCGAGUAGCUGAGACCACAGGUGCACACCACCAUGCCCAGUUAAUUUUUCAUUUUUUUCUUACAGACAUGGGGUCUCAUUUUGUUGCCAGGCUUGUCUCAAACUCCUUGACUCAAGCAACUCUCCCGCCUUGGCCUCCCAACGUGCUGGGAUGGCAGGCAUGAGCUGCCACGCCGGCCUGCGCUGUCCUCUACAGGCAGAUGCACCUGCGGCCUCACAUUCACACCUUUGAUUCCUGCUCUCUCAACGGCUGAGAGGCAAACACAUAGGAAAUCCCUACAGCGUGUGCACAGGCCAGUCUCACAUGUUCAUUACAUUUUUCCAAGUUCUUUAUGACUGGGAUUUCCUGUCGUAUUUGAGGACCAUCUUGAUUUGCUCUAAUUCUGGGUCUCAUGUUCACGUUUCCCCCCUUUUUUUUCCUUUUGCUUCUGUGACUUCUCUCUAAUCAGGAGAGGGGCCGAGUAUUUUCUGCUGAUGCUUUGGGAAAGCGUCUCCUCGGCACGGGAAAGAGAAGGCGAAGAUGAUACUGUUGGCUGCUUUAGGGUUUCUCACGUGGAGCUAGCAGAUCUUCCUCUUGUUACUAAGAGCUGGAAGCAGGACUGCUAUGGAUAGAAGUCGAGGAGGAAAUCAGCUCAUCUAAGGAAGAGUGUUCUAACAGGAGACGUCCAGACACGGACUGUGUUAGGAGUUUCCAGAGAUGCCCAGGAGGAGUCAUUGCAGAAGAUGGAAAGUCUUUGCUGCGGUAUUGUGGAGAGCAUUUUUCCUCGGGCGUGAUCUGGACUUCCUGACGGCUUCUGGCUUCUGCUGAUUCUCAGCGGCUGGGAAUGUGUGCUGGAAGCAGCCUUUUUGCAUCAGCUAGGUCUUCAGUGUUGAAUUUGCUUGCGUGUCUAUGUGUGUGUUUCUGUUUGCCGAGGUAACUUUGGAGCCUUUUCACUCCCUAGUGUCUUUACCGUAACUCUGUAGUGUGUCCUCCAUCCUGAGGACCCGGCCUGGGAUGCCACCAACUCUGUCCUGGAUGCUCUAAUGCAAACCUAGAGGAACAGGUGUCCAGCUCCAGCCUGAUUUACACACACGACCCAGCGGCCUUUGGGGGACCUUGCAGAAGAAAAGCAAAGAUCCUGACAACUCCGUCUGCGGACCCUUUUCAAAGAACAGCUUUGUCUUCCUGCAUCAUCUGGACCCCGGGACUUUCUCACCAGAGGGAUCUGACAAGGACCUGUUGAAACUUAUUUGAUGAAUAGCAAUGGCUUUGCAUCUGUAUCACUACUGGGCCCCAUACCUGAGUGCAUCUGAAGGGUUCUCUUUGCAACGUGAGCCCUGUGCCUGGCUGUUCUGCUUUCUUUCAGAGACUGGGACCUGCUUAAGGGUGGAGGCCUUUCUGCAGGUUCCCCGACCAGUGCCAUAUACAAAAUGGCACAUCUGUAAAGAGUUGCUAAUGAUGACACCUUUUCCUCAUCUCAUUGAGUUGUAUACGACGCCAAAUGGCUUGAGGAUGGUUUUGUACACCCUUAUGUUCAAGAGCUACAUCAACGUUAGUUGUUUAUUUAAAUUGAAAACUUAAUGUUGGCAGUGGUAGGUGGUAAUGAAGGGGAAUGGGACAGGUAAGCCGCUAGUGUUUAAGUUUCUGAAAUUACGGAGGGCACAGGUAGGAAGCUCCGUGGGGCAAAGUGCAGUAGGGGGUUGGACUGUGUGGUGUUGAUGACGCAGACUCUUCACUGUGUACAAUGCUUGCCUUUCAAACCCUCCAUCUGUCACAGACAUGUGCAAUGUUCCUAGUGAAAAGCUUUCCUUCUCCCAGUGAACAACCUUUCUUCUCCCAGUGAACAACCUUCCUUCUCCCAGGGAACAGCCUUCCUUCUCCCAGGGAACAGCCUUCCUUCUCCCAGUGAACAGCCUUCCUUCUCCCAGGGAACAGCCUUCCUUCUCCCAGAGAAGAGGCUUCCUUCUCCCAGUGAACAGCCUUCCUUCUCCCAGGGAACAGCCUUCCUUCUCCCAGGGAACAGCCUUCCUUCUCCCAGUGAACAGCCUUCCUUCUCCCAGUGAACAGCCUUCCUUCUCCCAGGGAACAGCCUUCCUUCUCCCAGGGAACAGCCUUCCUUCUCCCAGGGAACAGCCUUCCUUCUCCCAGGGAACAGCCUUCCUUCUCCCAGGGAACAGCCUUCCUUCUCCCAGGGAACAGCCUUCCUUCUCCCAGUGAACAGCCUUCCUUCUCCCAGUGAACAGCCUUCCUUCUCCCAGGGAACAGCCUUCCUUCUCCCAGGGAACAGCCUUCCUUCUCCCAGUGAACAGCCUUCCUUCUCCCAGUGAACAGCCUUCCUUCUCCCAGGGAACAGCCUUCCUUCUCCCAGGGAACAGCCUUCCUUCUCCCAGGGAACAGCCUUCCUUCUCCCAGGGAACAGCCUUCCUUCUCCCAGGGAACAGCCUUCCUUCUCCCAGGGAACAGCCUUCCUUCUCCCAGGGAACAGGCUUCCUUCUCCCAGUGAACAGGCUUCCUUCUCCCAGGGAACAGCCUUCCUUCUCCCAGUGAACAGCCUUCCUUCUCCCAGGGAACAGCCUUCCUUCUUCCAGGGAACAGCCUUCCUUCUCCCAGUGAACAGCCUUCCUUCUCCCAGGGAACAGCCUUCCUUCUCCCAGGGAACAGGCUUCCUUCUCCCAGGGAACAGGCUUCCUUCUCCCAGGGAACAGCCUUCCUUCUCCCAGGGAACAGGCUUCCUUCUCCCAGGGAACAGCCUUCCUUCUCCCAGUGAACAACUUUCCUUCUCCCAGGGAACAGCCUUCCUUCUCCCAGGGAACAGGCUUCCUUCUCCCAGUAAACAACCUUCCUUCUCCCAGAGAAGAGGCUUCCUUCUCCCAGUGAACAACCUUCCUUCUCCCAGGAUUUUGCUUUCUGGACCCUUUGCAAGAACAUUCUACAGGGAUUUCCCUGAAUUUGAAAUCUGCACACACCCCUUUAGGGACAGUGCUGGCUGACUUCAUUCCAGGAGGGCUGAGCUCCUCCAUUUUCCAGCAGACAUGGUGCAUCCUGUUGUCACUUUCCAAGAGCCUGCCGUGGGUUUCCCUGUUUCUGCUGGUGGGGAAACAAAUAAAAUACAAUUUGCGCUUGCCUUUCACCCCUCAGGUCCUCAUGAGAGUAUCAGUCAACUGAGUGACACUGUCGCCCACCGGCUGGGAGAAAGGGGGUCUUGAGAGAUUACUGUGAUACUGCAUGCCUGUGCGUUUGUGGGAUCAUUUCCUAUUUGUAUCAGAUGGAAUGCUUGACUGAAAAAAAAGAACAACUGUGGACUGUGUUCCUCCAAGUGUGGUUUCACAUCCCUCUAGUUAAUGCCAUCCAUGAAAACAAUUAACUUCUCUAUAUUUCAGGAUCCAGGCAGGACCUGGUAGGAAUCUUAUUUAAUUAUGUGCUAUAUUAAUGUUAUAUCGAUUAUGUUAUUGCCUGUAAAUCCAGAUACUUAAUAAAGCUGCAGUCAUUUUGCAAUAA